rnacentral:lncRNA from 1 species
AAUCCCGUGGGAAAACACCUAUAGAAAAAACCCAUCCGUGCAGGCAUCGCACGUCGCAUGCACUUGGUAUGCAAGGCCAGCACAGGACAUGCACACUAUGCGCAGUGCAAACUAGUGUGGCAUCAUGCGCCUUGUGCUCGCACCGUCCAUACAGUUGGUCCGCGUAGUGUGCGCUGCCCAUUGGGCGCCGUGCGCUACCUUGGGUGCCGCCACCGUCUUGGGCAGUGUGCUGCUGUAAGUUGGGAGGUUCUUUCUCUAUUUUUUGUGCCACCAUCACAUCGCAUCACAUAACUCUUUUCCCAUUCAACUUUCACUUUCCUCACCAGUUUUGCCACUUGGCACAAAUCUAAGUGUCCUCACUUCCUAUAAAU